rnacentral:rRNA from 1 species
CUAUCGCUUACAGAUGGGCCCGCGGUGCAUUAGCUAGUUGGUAGGGUAAUGGCCUACCAAGGCAACGAUGCAUAGCCGACCUGAGAGGGUGAUCGGCCACACUGGGACUGAGACACGGCCCAGACUCCUACGGGAGGCAGCAGUAGGGAAUCUUCCGCAAUGGACGAAAGUCUGACGGAGCAACGCCGCGUGUAUGAAGAAGGUUUUCGGAUCGUAAAGUACUGUUGUUAGAGAAGAACAAGGAUAAGAGUAACUGCUUGUCCCUUGACGGUAUCUAACCAGAAAGCCACGGCUAACUACGUGCCAGCAGCCGCGGUAAUACGUAGGUGGCAAGCGUUGUCCGGAUUUAUUGGGCGUAAAGCGCGCGCAGGCGGUCUUUUAAGUCUGAUGUGAAAGCCCCCGGCUUAACCGGGGAGGGUCAUUGGAAACUGGAAGACUGGAGUGCAGAAGAGGAGAGUGGAAUUCCACGUGUAGCGGUGAAAUGCGUAGAUAUG